UUUAAUAUAAAUUAUAUUUAAAAAUAUUGCUAUUCUUUGUUUCAGAUAUGUUUGUCGGCAAUAUUUCUUGAAGACUAAAAAAUGACAAAGCAGCCGUUCUUUAGUUCGCACAGAUUAUACGCUUACAUAUAGAACAAUGUUAAGAACAAAAGCCUGUAGGUGGAAGAGUAUGAUUUGGAUACAUUGAAGUGACCAUUGAUGCCUUAAUUCUAAUUGUAUGCUUGAAAAAUAGAGAAUAAACAAAGACAUUUAUGAAUUAUUAUUGUGUAUUAUCUCAACUAUUCCAGAUUGCGAUUACGUAAAAUAUUUUGGAUUCACUU